UACAGAGGGGGCAAGCGUUGUUCGGAAUUACUGGGCGUAAAGGGCGCGUAGGCGGCCUGCUAAGUCGAACGUGAAAUCCCUGGGCUCAACCCAGGAACUGCGUCCGAUACUGGUUGGCUUGAAUCCGGGAGAGGGAUGCGGAAUUCCAGGUGUAGCGGUGAAAUGCGUAGAUAUCUGGAGGAACACCGGUGGCGAAGGCGGCAUCCUGGACCAGCACUGACACUGAGGCACGAAAGCGUGGGGAGCAAACAGG
rnacentral:rRNA from 1 species